rnacentral:rRNA from 1 species
UACGUAGGGUGCAAGCGUUGUCCGGAAUUAUUGGGCGUAAAGAGCUCGUAGGCGGUUGUCCAAGUUGGAUGUGAAAGCCUUGAGCUUAACUCAAGAAAUGCAUUCAGGACUGGAUGACUAGAGGACCGGAGAGGAUAGUGGAAUUCCCAGUGUAGUGGUGAAAUACGUAGAGAUUGGGAAGAACACCAGUGGCGAAGGCGGCUAUCUGGACGGUUUCUGACGCUAAGACGCGAAAGCGUGGGGAGCAAACAGG